rnacentral:rRNA from 1 species
AGAGUUUGAUCAUGGCUCAGAACGAACGCUGGCGGCAGGCCUAACACAUGCAAGUCGCACGAACCUUCGGGUUAGUGGCGCACGGGUGAGUAACGCGUGGGAAUUUACCCAAGAGUGGGGAAUAACCUCUGGAAACGGAGGCUAAUACCGCAUACGCCCUCCUUUGGAGACAUUGGGGGGGAAAGCUACGGCGCUCCUGGAUGAGCCCGCGUUGGAUUAGCUUGUUGGUGAGGUAACGGCUUACCAAGGCUACGAUACAUAGCUGGUCUGAGAGGACGAUCAGCCACACUGGAACUGAGACACGGUCCAGACUCCUACGGGAGGCAGCAGUGGGGAAUAUUGGACAAUGGGGGCAACCCUGAUCCAGCCAUGCCGCGUGAGUGAAGAAGGCCCUAGGGUUGUAAAGCUCUUUCAGUCGUGAAGAUGAUGACGGUAGCGACAGAAGAAGCCCCGGCUAACUCCGUGCCAGCAGCCGCGGUAAUACGGAGGGGGCUAGCGUUGUUCGGAAUUACUGGGCGUAAAGCGCGCGUAGGCGGACUAGUCAGUCAGAGGUGAAAGCCCUGGGCUCAACCCGGGGAAUUGCCUUUGAUACUGCUAGUC